AACGCAGUUUAUCAAUUUGUCGAUAUUGUGUGACGGUCUUUGAUUUGAUUUGAUUUUAUAAUUUUUAGAUGGCGUUUGUCGUGUGCCCGGAGGACUGCUUCGAUAAUGAGAGCUCUGGCUCUAACGAUCUCACAAACGGAGGAUUUAUUAACACGGUUUUUAGACGGCGUUUGUUGCGUCCCGAGGUGGUAUGCUUCCAUAACGGCUCGGCCUGUUGGCCAAAAGUGCUGGUUCUAAUGGAUAACGGAUUUAUUACGCGGACUCGCGUCUGUUGUGCCCGGAUGAAUACGUUGGAGACUUCUGGCCGUUAUCGCUAUUGGAUUGAUUUAUUUAUAACGAUGAUGGUAUCUGUUGUGCCACGACAACUAAGCUAGAGAUUGAUGAUGGCAGUCAUCGCUAUUGGAUUUAUUGCAAAGAUUGUGCUACCGUUGUGGUGCCAGGAUAACAACUAUGCUAGAGAUUGAUGACACUCAUCGCUAUUGGAUUUAUUGCACGGUCUGUGCAUCUGUUUUGCCCGGUUGACUGUGAUUGAUUAGCGGCCGACCGACCCGAAGAGUGCUGGCUCUAAUUCAUGUUGGUUGUAUUACACAGGUAACUGAUUUUGACUUAUUUUAUUUGAUAUAAAUUUAAUUAUUAUUUUAUUUAUUGUUGAUUACAACGUAAUGUGUAUUGCAUCGACCGUAAGAUCCAAAUGUUUUUGAUUUUUUCGUAUGUAUAUAUAUAUAUAUAUAUUCAGUUAUGCGAUUAUUCAUCGAAUUGUGUGCAAUGGAGUUCAUCUUAUUACAUAAACAGCAAUUGUAGUUUAUAUGAAUAUCUUUUCUGAUGAAAGUAUAACGGCAACGACAUUAUUAUUUAAUAAAAUGUGUAUUGGAUAAUCAUAGUACACGGCCUUUGGUAAAUUUCACUUCUGUUGAUAGUUCUGUGCUGUUGGUUUUUUUUUUUAGUCUAUGUUUGCCGCCCUCCCUUACUGUUCGCCGUUCCUCAAAAACGCCUGUCAAACCUCGAUUCCAUAAGAUAUUGCCAUUCGACAAUGGACGAUCAUCAAGAUUACUACGUGCAGUCUGCUUUUGGAGUUCAUCGAAAACGUUUAUUCUUUAUUUAAUUUACAACAUAAUUCUUUUACCAAUAUUAUUGUAUUGAUUUAGGUUUGAGUCUCUCAUUAAACCGUAUUUUUCUAAUGAUAAUUAUAUCAAUUUGUAUUCCAAAUACUCUACAUUACUUCAAUAUGAACGAAAUUUUUUUAUACGUGUGAGGACAAUAAAGAAAUAUCAAUUAAUAAAGAAAC